GACGAACGCUGGCGGCGUGCUUAACACAUGCAAGUCGAACGGAAAGGCCCUGCUUUUGUGGGGUGCUCGAGUGGCGAACGGGUGAGUAACACGUGAGUAACCUGCCCUUGACUUUGGGAUAACUUCAGGAAACUGGGGCUAAUACCGGAUAGGAGCUCCUGCUGCAUGGUGGGGUUGGAAAGUUUCGGCGGUUGGGGAUGGACUCGCGGCUUAUCAGCUCGUUGGUGGGGUAGUGGCUUACCAAGGCUUUGACGGGUAGCCGGCCUGAGAGGGUGACCGGCCACAUUGGGACUGAGAUACGGCCCAGACUCCUACGGGAGGCAGCAGUGGGGAAUAUUGCACAAUGGGCGGAAGCCUGAUGCAGCAACGCCGCGUGCGGGAUGACGGCCUUCGGGUUGUAAACCGCUUUCGCCUGUGACGAAGCGUGAGUGACGGUAAUGGGUAAAGAAGCACCGGCUAACUACGUG
rnacentral:rRNA from 1 species